rnacentral:SRP_RNA from 1 species
GGCGCACGCCUGUAGUCCCAGCUACUCGGGAGGCUGAGACAGGAGGAUCGCUUGAGUCCAGGAGUUCUGGGCUGUAGUGCGCUAUGCCGAUCGGGUGUCCGCACUAAGUUCGGCAUCAAUAUGGUGACCUCCCGGGAGCGGGGGACCACCAGGUUGCCUAAGGAGGGGUGAACCGGCCCAGGUCGGAAACGGAGCAGGUCAAAACUCCCGUGCUGAUCAGUAGUGGGAUCGCGCCUGUGAAUAGCCACUGCACUCCAGCCUGGGCAACAUAGCGAGACCCCGUCUCUUU